rnacentral:rRNA from 1 species
AUAGCGUAUAUUAAAGUUGUUGCAGUUAAAAAGCUCGUAGUUGAAUUUUGGACCUGGUCGGGCGGUCUUGCCGAAAGGUAAGCACUGCUCUUGGUCGGGUCUUUCCUUCUGGGGAACCAGCGUGCGCUUAAUUGAGUGCGCUGGGGAUCCAGGACUUUUACUUUGAAAAAAUUAGAGUGUUUAAAGCAGGCAUACGCUUGAAUACAUUAGCAUGGAAUAAUAGAAUAGGACUUUGGUUCUAUUUUGUUGGUUUCUAGGACCGAAGUAAUGAUUAAUAGGGAUAGUUGGGGGCAUUAGUAUUUAAUUGUCAGAGGUGAAAUUCUUAGAUUUAUGAAAGACUAACUUCUG